CUUCACAUCCUUUGAAUUGCCUUCAUCUCCUUGUCUUUCUCAAUUAGUAAUCCAAGAUUGCCUUAACUUGACAUCCGUGGAACUACAUUCAUCUCCUUGUCUCUCUCAAUUAGAGAUUAGUCGUUGCCCUUGCUUGACAUCCUUAAAAGUGGUUUCAUUACCUUGUCUUGAGCGCCUCUCUCUUGAGAGUCCGAGAGGAGGUACUACGGCAGAUAAUGGUUGUCUCUGCUUCUUCAUUGAAGACUUUGUCUCUUGGCAACAUAGAUGAUACAACCUGUAUAUCUCUCUUAGAGCAGCUGCUUCAACAUGUUUCCACUCUCCAAACUCUCAACAUGUGGGACUGCCCUGAAUUGAUGACAUCACUGCCACAAGAAAUGCCUUCUCUCAAAACCCUCCAGAUGCUCGAAAUUAGAGACUGUUCUGGUUUGGCAACAUUGCCACACUGGAUAGGCAGCCUCACCUCACUUGCAGAGCUUCAUAUAUAUAAGUGCCGUGAAUUGACAUCAUUACCAGAAGAAAUACAUUCUCUCUAGAUACUCAAAAUUUAUUGCUGCACUGCUUUGGCAACAUUACCACACUCCAUAGGCAGCCUCACUUCACUUGAAGUGCUUGAUUUAACUUGUUGCCAUCAAUUGGCAUCACUACCCGAAGAGAUGCGUUCCCUCAAAAACCUGCAGAUGCUUUAUAUCUCCCAUUGCCCACACCUGGAGGAAAGAUGCCGAAAGGAAACAGGGGAAGACUGGCCCAAGAUUUCUCAUAUCCCAGACAUUGUUGUGAGAUAGGGAUGGAGAUGCAACAGAUACAUAAUAUUGUUUCAGAUGAUAUUAUAUCUCUUCCAUUAGAGCCGCUUCAACGACGUGUUUCCAUGAUCGUAACUCCCAACAUUGAAUGCUGUUUUGGUUUUUGUGCACCUUCAUAUUCGCGAUUGCACUGGAUUGACAUCACCACCAGAAGGGAUGUACCCGAAUACGCUCAAAAUCUUUCAUUGUCUGCACAAAUUCGUAUCCCAAAAUUGCUCAUAUCCCACAAAUUUAUACCUGGUGAAAAUUUCAUCCAUACACAGCUAUUUCAGGUAUAAUUGUUGCCAAGUCAAAGCAAUAUCGGAUAGUGAUCUGGCUGCAAAAUCUCUCUUCUCUAAAGUACUUAGAAAGUGAGAAUUGUCUUUGGUUCAUAUUUCUCUAGAUGGCUGUCACACCUAAUUUCUCUCAAAUUAUCGAAAGUUUGGAGGUGUGGCAGUAGCCUAAUGUCUUUGUCAUAAGUGACGCCUUAUUAACCUUGAAGCCUUGGAAGCUGUCUAAAUAAUAUGAUAUCUUUUCUGGUUGAUCUGCUUUGACAAGUUACCAGGCUUCAAACUCUCUCAGUUAUGACGUGUUCGCGUUUUGCAACAUUAGCACACUUGAUAGGCAGCCUCACGUCAUUAACAAAGCAUAAAUUUCAUUCUUGCCCUCUACUGACAUCAAUGCCACAAGACAUGUUCCCUCAGCACUCUAUAGACACACAAUUCAGGACUGUCGUGGUUUGGUAGUAUUAUCAGACUCAAUAGACAGCCUCCCCUUACAAACACCUUCAAAGAACCAACAUCACUGUUGGAAGACAUGUGUCUCCUCAGCACAUUAUGAACACUCAUAGUUGGGGAUUGUUCUAGGUUGACAACAUAUAUAGACUCGGCAGGUAGCCUUAAAUAACUUACAGAGCUUCAAAUUCAUGACUGCCCUGAAUUGAUAUCAUUGCCAAAAGAAAUUUGUUCCUUUAGAUCCCUACAGACACUCAUAAUCUCUUAUUGUCUCUUGUUGUCCAUGUUUAUUGGAAAGAUGAAUGUCAAAGCGAAAUGGGGUGAAAAUCAGCCAAGAUUGCCCAUAUCCAAAAUAUUGAUAUUUGGUGGGGAUUGGACUUUGAACUAAUAUUGUUUGCAUUAAAGCUUCCAUUGGCACAACAUAUAGAAAGCUAUUUAAGCAAAUGUAAUUCUUGCCGGGUCAAAGCAAACGUGGACAGUAUUGUGGCUACGAUACCCUUCUCAUCUGAAGAAAUAAGAAAGCAAGGAUUGUCAUAGACCAAGGUCUCUCUCAUUGGCUGCCAGACUUCAGUCGUCGCUUCAGAAUUGUAGUAGCAAAAUGUUUGUCUCCAGUGGCUCAGCACCUCACUGCCCUUCAAGCUUCAGAAGUCGUCUAAAUAGUUGGGGUCUGAACAUGUUACCAUUUUGGAAAUUCUAAGAAGUAUCAACUGUUCUGGUUUUACAAUUUUAUUGCUGACUGCCCCAAAUUGAUCAUUCACUGCUAGAAUAGAUGCACUCAUGAACACUCCCUUGGAGAAAUGCUGAAAAGGAAAAGCGACGACUAGCACCCAAGAGUGGUUUAUGGACUUCUCUUGCUCUCCUUAAUCCAAGCAUUCUAUCUAUAAUAUGUUUCAGGUUUGCAAUCCAAUAACCUUUCUCCUAUUUUUGUUGGCUUUAAUU